GUUUUCAUAGUUUCAAGAGGAGUGGGUUCAAUACUUGUGUGUAGCACUUUUUUUAGUUUUUUUUUUUUUUAGUAUUUCAUUUUCUUUAGUAUUUUAUUUUUUUUAGUAUUUCAUUUUCUUUUAGCUUUUAUUUUUUAGUAUUUUAUUGUCUUUUAGCAUUUUGUUUCUUUUAAUAUUUUUUUUAUGUCCAUGCUUCUUUAUUAAUUUCAUCAUAUAUUCGAAACC
rnacentral:lncRNA from 1 species